rnacentral:rRNA from 1 species
AGAGUUUGAUCCUGGCUCAGGAUGAACGCUAGCGGCAGGCCUAACACAUGCAAGUCGAGGGGCAGCACGGUGUAGCAAUACACUGGUGGCGACCGGCGCACGGGUGCGUAACGCGUAUGCAACCUACCCAUAACAGGGGGAUAACACUGAGAAAUUGGUACUAAUACCCCAUAACAUCAGGACCGGCAUCGGUUCUGGUUGAAAACUCCGGUGGUUAUGGAUGGGCAUGCGUUGUAUUAGCUGGUUGGUGAGGUAACGGCUCACCAAGGCAACGAUACAUAGGGGGACUGAGAGGUUAACCCCCCACAUUGGUACUGAGACACGGACCAAACUCCUACGGGAGGCAGCAGUGAGGAAUAUUGGUCAAUGGACGCAAGUCUGAACCAGCCAUGCCGCGUGCAGGAAGACGGCUCUAUGAGUUGUAAACUGCUUUUGUACGAGGGUAAACGCUCUUACGUGUAAGAGCCUGAAAGUAUCGUACGAAUAAGGAUCGGCUAACUCCGUGCCAGCAGCCGCGGUAAUACGGAGGAUCCAAGCGUUAUCCGGAUUUAUUGGGUUUAAAGGGUGCGUAGGCGGUUUGAUAAGUUAGAGGUGAAAUACCGGUGCUUAACACCGGAACUGCCUCUAAUACUGUUGAACUAGAGAGUAGUUGCGGUAGGCGGAAUGUAUGGUGUAGCGGUGAAAUGCUUAGAGAUCAUACAGAACACCGAUUGCGAAGGCAGCUUACCAAACUAUAUCUGACGUUGAGGCACGAAAGCGUGGGGAGCAAACAGGAUUAGAUACCCUGGUAGUCCACGCAGUAAACGAUGAAUACUAGGUGUUGGGUGUCACAGACAUUCGGUGCCGCAGCAAACGCAAUAAGUAUUCCACCUGGGGAGUACGUUCGCAAGAAUGAAACUCAAAGGAAUUGACGGGGGCCCGCACAAGCGGAGGAACAUGUG